AUUGAACGCUGGCGGAAUGCUUUACACAUGCAAGCCGAACGGUAGAGGGGGCAACCCCUCGAGAGUGGCGAACGGGUGAGUAAUAUAUCGGAACGUGCCCAGUCGUGGGGGAUAACGUAGCGAAAGUUACGCUAAUACCGCAUACGAUCUAAGGAUGAAAGCGGGGGAUCGCAAGACCUCGCGCGAUUGGAGCGGCCGAUAUCAGAUUAGGUAGUUGGUGGGGUAAAGGCUCACCAAGCCAACGAUCUGUAGAUGGUCUGAGAGGACGACCAGCCACACUGGAACUUAGACACGGUCCAGACUCCUACGGGAGGCAGCAGUGGGGAAUUUUGGACAAUGGACGCAAGUCUGAUCCAGCCAUUCCGCGUGCAGGAUGAAGGCCCUCGGGUUGUAAACUGCUUUUGUACGGAACGAAAAGGUCUCUCUUAAUACGGGGGACUCAUGACGGUACCGUAAGAAUAAGCACCGGCUAACUACUUGCCAGCAGCCGCGGUAA
rnacentral:rRNA from 1 species